rnacentral:lncRNA from 1 species
UUUGUCUUCUUCAUGGACUCGUUCUUCUUCCUUGCGGGAUCUCAGGCAAGAUGACCAUUACCCUCGAUAUCACUUCUAUCUUUGCUUUGCUAGUUGUUCGUUCUAUCACUAUGCUUGCGCUACCUACCACUUGUUUAUGAAGCCUCCCAAAUUGCCAUGUCAGCCUCUAACCUUUUCACCCUUCCUAGCAAACCGUUGUUUGGUUAAGUUACCGCUUUUGCUUAGCCCCUCUUAUAGCGUUGCUAGUUGCAGGUGAAGAUUAAGUUUGUUCCUUGUUGGAACAUGGAUAUCAUGAACUUUGUUGGGAUAUCACAAUAUCUCUUAUUUAAUUAAUGCAUCUAUAUACUUGGUAAAGGGUGGAAGGCUCGGCCUUAUACCUGGUGUUUUGUUCCACUCUUGCCACCCUAGUUUCCGUCAUACCGGUGUUAUGUUCCUUGAUUUUGCGUCCCUUACGCGGUUGGGUGAUUUAUGGGACCCCCUUGACAGUUCGCUUUGAAUAAAACUCCUCCAGCAAGGCCCAACCUUGGUUUUACAUUUGCCUCACCUAAGCCUUUUUCCCUUGGGUUUCCGGAGCCCAAGGGUCAUCUUUAUUUACCCCCCGGGCCAGUGCUCCUUCGAGUGCUGGUCCAAACCGAGCGAUGUCCGGCGCCCCCUGGGCAACCAGGGUCUAUCCCAACCCGACGUCUGGCUCAUCCGGUGUGCCCUGAGAACGAGAUACGUGCGACUCCUAUCGGGAUUUGUCGGCACAUCGGGCGGCUUUGCUGGUCUUGUUUUACCAUUGUCGAAAUGUCUUGUAAACCGGGAUUCCGAGACUGAUCGGGUCUUCCCGGGAGAAGGAAUAUCCUUCAUUGACCGUGAGAGCUUAUAAUGGGCUAAGUUGGGACACCCCCGCAGGGUAUAAACUUUCAAGAGCCAUGCCCGCGGUUAUGUGGCAGAUGGGAAUUUGUUAAUGUCUGGUUGUAGAGAACUUGACACUCGACUUAAUUAAAACGCAUCAACCGCGUGUGUAGCCGUGAUGGUCUCUUUUCGGCGGAGUCCGGGAAGAGAACACGGCUUUUGGGUUAUGUUUGACAUAAGUAGGAGUUCAGGAUCACUUCUUGAUCAUUACUAGUUGACGACCGUUCCAUUGCUCCUCUUCUCGCUCUUAUUUGCGUAUGUUAGCCACCAUAUAUGCUUAGUGCUUGCUGCAGCUCCACCUCACUACCUUCUCCUACCCAUAAGCUUAAAUAGUCUUGAUCUCGCGGGUGUGAGAUUGCUGAGUCCUCGUGACUCACAGAUACUUCCAAAACAGUUGCAGGUGCCGAUGAUACCUAUGCAGGUGACGCAACCGAGCUCAAGUGGGAGUUCGACGAGGACCGUGGUCGUUACUAUGUUUCGUUUCCUGAUGAUCAGUAGUGGAGCCCAGUUGGGACGAUCGGGGAUCUAGCAUUUGGGGUUAUCUUCUUUUCAUUUGGAUUUGACCGUAGUCGGUCUAUGUGUGGAUUUUGGAUGAUGUAUGAAUUAAUUUAUGUAUUGUGUGAAGUGGCGAUUGUAAGACAACUC